UCGUUGUUGCAGUUAAAAAGCUCGUAGUUGAAAUGAAGGGUAGUUGUGUAAUGAAUACAUUCGUGUAUUUUGUUAUCCAGUAUCCUCCUUCUAAAUUCGAUAUAUGAGUAUUAAUUUACUUGUAUAUGGUUUUAGACAUUUACUGUGAGAAAAUUAGAGUGUUCAAAGCAGGCAUUUGCUUGAAUAUAUUAGCAUGGAAUAAUCAUGUAUGAUUUUCAUGAUGUAUUUGAUUGGUUUGGUUGAUGAGAAUAAGAUUAAAAGGGACAGUUGGGGGUAUUCAUAUUCAAUAGUCAGAGGUGAAAUUCUCGGAUUUAUGGAAGAUGAACAAGUGCGAAAGCAUUUACCAAGGAUGUUUUCAUUAAUCAA
rnacentral:rRNA from 1 species